rnacentral:rRNA from 1 species
UUACACAUGCAGUCGAACGAUGAACCACCUUCGGGUGGGGUUUAGUGGCGAACGGGUGAGUAACACGUGGGCAAUCUGCCCUUCACUCUGGGACAAGCCCUGGAAACGGGGUCUAAUACCGGAUACUGACCUGCCAGGCAUCUUGGCGGGUCGAAAAGCUCCGGCGGUGAAGGAUGAGCCCGCGGCCUAUCAGCUUGUUGGUGAGGUAAUGGCUCACCAAGGCGACGACGGGUAGCCGGCCUGAGAGGGCGACCGGCCACACUGGGACUGAAACACGGCCCAGACUCCUACGGGAGGCAGCAGUGGGGAAUAUUGCACAAUGGGCGAAAGCCUGAUGCAGCGACGCCGCGUGAGGGAUGACGGCCUUCGGGUUGUAAACCUCUUUCAGCAGGGAAGAAGCGAAAGUGACGGUACCUGCAGAAGAAGCGCCGGCUAACUACGUGCCAGCAGCCGCGGUAAUACGUAGGGCGCAAGCGUUGUCCGGAAUUAUUGGGCGUAAAGAGCUCGUAGGCGGCUUGUCACGUCGGGUGUGAAAGCCCGGGGCUUAACCCCGGGGUCUGCAGUCGAUACGGGCAGGCUAGAGUUCGGUAUGGGAGAUCGGAAUUUCCUGGUG